ACUCCUACGGGAGGCAGCAGUGGGGAAUAUUGGACAAUGGGGGCAACCCUGAUCCGCAGCCAUGCGCGUGAUGAGUCGAAUUGGUAAGGCCAAUUUGGUUGUCAAAGCAUUCAUUGAAGCAGGGGAGGAGAGGCUAAUGGUUAAUACCCAUUAGAUUAGACGUUACCUGCAGAAUAAGCACCGGCUAACUCUGUGCCAGCAGCCGCGGUAAUACAGAGGGUGCGAGCGUUAAUCGGAAUUACUGGGCGUAAAGCGAGUGUAGGUGGCUCAUUAAGUCACAUGUGAAAUCCCCGGGCUUAACCUGGGAACUGCAUGUGAUACUGGUGGUGCUAGAAUAUGUGAGAGGGAAGUAGAAUUCCAGGUGUAGCGGUGAAAUGCNUAGAGAUCUGGAGGAAUACCGAUGGCGAAGGCAGCUUCCUGGCAUAAUAUUGACACUGAGAUUCGAAAGCGUGGGUAGCAAACAGGAUUAGAUACCCUGGUA
rnacentral:rRNA from 1 species